GUAUAUAUGGUAUGGGUAUUGUAGUAAAAGUGAUUUAAAGUGAUCCCAUGCUUCAUGAAAGAAUUUAGUAUAUCCUUUUGAUAAAAGCUAGAAAUUUCAGCCCUUAAUUC
rfam:Ricinus communis cultivar Hale ctg_1100012361334, whole genome shotgun sequence.